AAACAUGAUGAUAGUUAUCAGUGAUGUGGGAUUGUUUUAGAGUCAAUAAGGUGGCUGAUUUAAAAAAAAAAUAGACAGUAGGUGUCUGGCAACUUAUAGACAGAAGUGCAACGUUUUCGAUAGGAUCCACGCAAUGCAAUGUGAGAAGAAAUAAUAUGUAGCCGGUCGAUUAAUCUUCGGCGACGAUUCUUGAGAAUUGUUCUCGUUGACCCACACCAGGGGAUCCGGCCAAACGUGUCAGUCGUGCCCCUGAGUCUUAGACGAGCAGGGCAUGGGGCCAAUUAACUCUGACGAACGGGACAACAAGACGCGUUCGUACAUUAAGCAGCGUGUCUUAGAGGCUUCUUCUGGAGUGUUCCUUCCUUCCCUCUGAUUUUCCACUUACAUUCUUAUUCUCGUCGACCACGUAAUCAGCACGCGAUCCGAACGAAACGUAUCCUCUGCACGCCCAGUUACCGGGGAACAAAUCAACUUCGUUCCGAGGCAGCCAUCCAACCAACUUCGCGCAUCUACUCCUCUGUUAACCCAGAUGGUUCGGCAAUCGUUCGUAAACAACGACUGCUGGUCGAGGCAGGGAUGAUGAUCGCGCGCGUUAACGCUGAUGAUAUUGCCGAUAGUUAACGAACUACGCCUGACUGCAUUUCAAUCACUUCGAUUCUCUAACGAGUUUCUCGAACGUUCGAAGAAUGCGCCCUAUCGAUAUCUCCGCGCCAAUAUCGGGGAUCCGACAGUCCAAUAGAGAUCGAUCGACGCCGCGUCCGCUGCGAUCGAUUUAGUUAAUUUAUUUGGUUAAUAAACGCCAAACGGAACGUCGAAACGAAUGCAAAACUCGUAUUAAUUAAGGCGUUAUCGAAAGGCGUUUCACACGGCGGAGGAUUGACGAUUGAGCAGCAUGUACACAUCGCGUACAUGGCGUGUACAUUGCAUUGGGAUUAAACGGAAAGAAACGCAGGAUCGAAGAACGUUCGAUCAUCACGUGACUUGUGACGCCUGGCAGACGGCAGACAACGAUGGCAACGAGAGAACGAUUGAAUAGCGCGCGCAUGCUAACGCGUUACCUUCCCAAUGUGUUUCGCGUACGCUACUAAAUUGCGCGCUAUUAAAUUCUUCCUCACCUUGCUACUACUUGUACCACGUUUGAAAACAUUUGCAUCAAAUCAAAGUUCACAGCAGCAUAGUUUCGACGCGCACUAGCCGUCCCGAACAACUGCUUGUUUUUUCUUUUUUCUUGCCGCGCCCAUUCAAGUUUUCCAUUUGCACUUACGCGAAAGGAACAACGUCGUUUACCUUUCGUUUCAUCGAACGUAAAUACAUUUUUAUGUAAACGAUCGGUCGAUCGUACAUAGAAAUAAAGCGAGUGUCCGGCAUUAACAAGCAAAGUAUGAACUAAGCAUGCUAAGGAUGCACAGAUUAAUUGUUUCUUACGAUAGAUUAACUGCCCCUCUUUUUCGAUUGGUCUCGAUUUGU